rnacentral:rRNA from 1 species
CACGUAGGGCGCAAGCGUUGUCCGGAAUUAUUGGGCGUAAAGAGCUCGUAGGCGGUUUGUCGCGUCGGCUGUGAAAACUCGGGGCUCAACCCCGAGCCUGCAGUCGAUACGGGCAAACUAGAGUGUGGUAGGGGAGACUGGAAUUCCUGGUGUAGCGGUGAAAUGCGCAGAUAUCAGGAGGAACACCGGCGGCGAAGGCGGGUCUCUGGGCCGAAAUUGACGCUGAGGAGCGAAAGCGUGGGGAGCGAACAGG